AUUACCUAAUUUUCUUAUUACAUUUUUCUUUUUCUUCUAUUUUUUUCAUCUUUGAGACUGGGUUUUUUCGAUAUGUCUCCUUCCUUUUUUAUUCAAAAUAAGAAAAACUUUACACAAAUAGCUGCUAAUGGAGACUAUGUAAUCUUGCAUUUUCUAACUUUGCAGCUUUAGAUUCUUCUAAACUUGACCGAGUUACAUGCCAUUAGUGUAUACAAUGAUCAAAUUAAGGCUUGAAAGAAAGUGGAUACUAUAUAAUGAGGGGGGCAUAAAAG
rnacentral:lncRNA from 1 species